UGGGGAAUUUUGGACAAUGGGCGAAAGCCUGAUCCAGCAAUGCCGCGUGUGUGAAGAAGGCCUUCGGGUUGUAAAGCACUUUUGUCCGGAAAGAAAUCCUUGGCUCUAAUACAGUCGGGGGAUGACGGUACCGGAAGAAUAAGCACCGGCUAACUACGUGCCAGCAGCCGCGGUAAUACGUAGGGUGCAAGCGUUAAUCGGAAUUACUGGGCGUAAAGCGUGCGCAGGCGGUUUGCUAAGACCGAUGUGAAAUCCCCGGGCUCAACCUGGGAACUGCAUUGGUGACUGGCAGGCUAGAGUAUGGCAGAGGGGGGUAGAAUUCCACGUGUAGCAGUGAAAUGCGUAGAGAUGUGGAGGAAUACCGAUGGCGAAGGCAGCCCCCUGGGCCAAUACUGACGCUCAUGCACGAAAGCGUGGGGAGCAAACAGGAUUAGAUACCCUGGUAGUCCACGCCCUAAACGAUGUCAACUAGUUGUUGGGGAUUCAUUUCCUUAGUAGCGUAGCUAACGCGUGAAGUUGACCGCCUGGGGAGUACGGUCGCAAGAUUAAAACUCAAAGGAAUUGACGGGGUCAUAGCUG
rnacentral:rRNA from 1 species